rnacentral:rRNA from 1 species
UCUUGCAAGACAGAUGUGAAAUCCCCGGGCUCAACCUGGGAACUGCAUUUGUGACUGCAAGGCUAGAGUACGGCAGAGGGGGAUGGAAUUCCGCGUGUAGCAGUGAAAUGCGUAGAUAUGCGGAGGAACACCGAUGGCGAAGGCAAUCCCCUGGGCCUGUACUGACGCUCAUGCACGAAAGCGUGGGGAGCAAACAGGAUUAGAUACCCUGGUAGUCCACGCCCUAAACGAUGUCAACUGGUUGUUGGGAAGGUU